rnacentral:rRNA from 1 species
AGCCCGCUCGCCGGAAGACCAAGGGUUCCUGUCCAACGUUAAUCGGGGCAGGGUGAGUCGACCCCUAAGGCGAGGCCGAAAGGCGUAGUCGAUGGGAAACAGGUUAAUAUUCCUGUACUUGGUGUUACUGCGAAGGGGGGACGGAGAAGGCUAUGUUGGCCGGGCGACGGUUGUCCCGGUUUAAGCGUGUAGGCUGGUUUUCCAGGCAAAUCCGGAAAACCAAGGCUGAGGCGUGAUGACGAGGCACUACGGUGCUGAAGCAACAAAUGCCCUGCUUCCAGGAAAAGCCUCUAAGCAUCAGGUAACAUCAAAUCGUACCCCAAACCGACACAGGUGGUCAGGUAGAGAAUACCAAGGCGCUUGAGAGAACUCGGGUGAAGGAACUAGGCAAAAUGGUGCCGUAACUUCGGGAGAAGGCACGCUGAUAUGUAGGUGAAGCGACUUGCUCGUGGAGCUGAAAUCAGUCGAAGAUACCAGCUGGCUGCAACUGUUUAUUAAAAACACAGCACUGUGCAAACACGAAAGUGGACGUAUACGGUGUGACGCCUGCCCGGUGCCGGAAGGUUAAUUGAUGGGGUUAGCGGUAACGCGAAGCUCUUGAUCGAAGCCCCGGUAAACGGCGGCCGUAACUAUAACGGUCCUAAGGUAGCGAAAUUCCUUGUCGGGUAAGUUCCGACCUGCACGAAUGGCGUAAUGAUGGCCAGGCUGUCUCCACCCGAGACUCAGUGAAAUUGAACUCGCUGUGAAGAUGCAGUGUACCCGCGGCAAGACGGAAAGACCCCGUGAACCUUUACUAUAGCUUGACACUGAACAUUGAGCCUUGAUGUGUAGGAUAGGUGGGAGGCUUUGAAGUGUGGACGCCAGUCUGCAUGGAGCCGACCUUGAAAUACCACCCUUUAAUGUUUGAUGUUCUAACGUGGGCCCCUUACCGGGGUUGCGGACAGUGUCUGGUGGGUAGUUUGACUGGGGCGGUCUCCUCCUAAAGAGUAACGGAGGAGCACGAAGGUUGGCUAAUCCUGGUCGGACAUCAGGAGGUUAGUGCAAUGGCAUAAGCCAGCUUGACUGCGAGCGUGACGGCGCGAGCAGGUGCGAAAGCAGGUCAUAGUGAUCCGGUGGUUCUGAAUGGAAGGGCCAUCGCUCAACGGAUAAAAGGUACUCCGGGGAUAACAGGCUGAUACCGCCCAAGAGUUCAUAUCGACGGCGGUGUUUGGCACCUCGAUGUCGGCUCAUCACAUCCUGGGGCUGAAGUAGGUCCCAAGGGUAUGGCUGUUCGCCAUUUAAAGUGGUACGCGAGCUGGGUUUAGAACGUCGUGAGACAGUUCGGUCCCUAUCUGCCGUGGGCGCUGGAGAACUGAGGGGGGCUGCUCCUAGUACGAGAGGACCGGAGUGGACGCAUCACUGGUGUUCGGGUUGUCAUGCCAAUGGCACUGCCCGGUAGCUAAAUGCGGAAGAGAUAAGUGCUGAAAGCAUCUAAGCACGAAACUUGCCCCGAGAUGAGUUCUCCCUGAGACUUAGAGUCUCCUGAAGGAACGUUGAAGACGACGACGUUGAUAGGCCGGGUGUGUAAGCGCAGCGAUGCGUUGAGCUAACCGGUACUAAUGAACCGUGAGGCUUAACCUU